rnacentral:rRNA from 1 species
AACGAACGCUGGCGGCAUGCCUAACACAUGCAAGUCGAACGAGACAUUCGGGUCUCGUGGCGCACGGGUGCGUAACGCGUGGGAAUCUGCCCUUGGGUUCGGGAUAACAGAUGGAAACGACUGCUAAUACCGGAUGACAUCUUCGGACACAAGCUUUAACGCCCAGGGAUGAGCCCGCUUCGGAUUAGCUAGUUGGUAGGGUAAAAGCCUACCAAGGCUACGAUCCGUAGCGGGUCUGAGAGGAUUCUCAGCCACACUGGGACUGAGACACGGCCCAGACUCCUACGGGAGGCAGCAGUGGGGAAUAUUGGACAAUGGGCGAAAGCCUGAUCCAGCAAUGCCGCGUGAGUGAUGAAGGCCUUAGGGUUGUAAAGCUCUUUUACCCGGGAUGAUAAUGACAGUACCGGGAGAAUAAGCCCCGGCUAACUCCGUGCCAGCCGCCGCCGUAA